rnacentral:rRNA from 1 species
UUAUCUCUGUAGAGUCUGCAUAUCAAUAAGCGGAGGAAAAGGAACUAACUAGGAUUCCCUCAGUAACGGCGAGUGAAGCGGGAAGAGCUCAAAUUUGAAAUCUUCAAGGUUCUACCUUGACGAAUUGUAGUUUAAAGAAGUGUUUUCUGUUGGAGUUUUGGUAAAAGUUCUUUGGAAUAGGACAUCAUAGAGGGUGAGAAUCCCGUAUUUGACCAUUAUUUCCAGCUUUGUGAUACACUUUCAAAGAGUCGGAUUGUUUGGGAAUGCAGUCCAGAAUGGGUGGUAAAUUUCAUCUAAAGCUAAAUAUUGGCGAGAGACCGAUAGCGAACAAGUACCGUGAGGGAAAGAUGAAAAGAACUUUGAAAAGAGAGUUAAACAGUACGUGAAAUUGUCAAAAGGGAAGCGUUUGACACCAGUGUUGUUUUCUCGAAAAUCAAUUAAAAAAUGAGCGGGAUUUUGUGUUGUAUUGACUUUAUCAGCUUUCUGCACUCUUUUCCUUGUCUUUUUUAAUGCACUUUUCGUUUAACAAGUCAACAGUCAAUUUCUUUUGUUGUAAAAGGGUCAUUGGAAGGUGGCUUUCUUUUCGGAGAAAGUGUUUAUAGCCUUUGGCCUCUGCAAUCGGAGAGAUUGAGGUCUGCAGCGUAGAUCCUUCGGGGUUAGAUACAUUUGUGCUAAGUUAUAGCCUUUCAUAGACAACUUGUUGACUAUGAUCAGUCAUGUAGCUUACUCGCUUAUGCUAUUUUACCUACGCUUAGGAUGUUGAGUCAUCACACAUCUCU